rnacentral:RNase_P_RNA from 1 species
GGCUGCAGGUGAGGAAAGUCCGGGCUUCACAGGGCAGGAUGCCGGAUAACGUCCGGUGGAGGCGACUCCAAGGAAAGUGCAACAGAAAUAAACCGCCUAUUGUCUGAAGGGGGGACCCGCUUGCGGGGAGAUUCCUUGAGACUUGUCUAAAGGCUAUUUCCUUUAGACAGGGGUAAGGGUGGAAAGGCAGUGUAAGAGACUACCGCCUCUCUGGUAACAGAGGGGGCAUAUGUAAACCCCAUCCGAAGCAAGACCGAAACAAAGCGUUGACGUGGCCCGCCAGCUUUAGGUAGGUCGCUUGAUGUGGCUGGCAACAGUCAUACUAGAUAGAUGAUCAUUCACGACAUAACCCGGCUUAUCGUUCUGCUUAUUCU